UAAUUGGAGAGUUUGAUCCUGGCUCAGGACGAACGCUGGCGGCGUGCUUAACACAUGCAAGUCGAACGGUCCAGCACUCAACUUAGUGCUCAUAAGAUAUAGAG
rnacentral:rRNA from 1 species